GCCCCCCUAGCUCAGUCGGUAGAGCGUUUCCAUGGUAAGGAAAAGGUCACCGGUUCGAUUCCGGUGGGGGGCU
rnacentral:tRNA from 2 species